UACGUAGGGUGCGAGCGUUGUCCGGAAUUAUUGGGCGUAAAGAGCUCGUAGGCGGUCUGUCGCGUCGAUCGUGAAAACUUGGGGCUUAACCCUGAGCUUGCGGUCGAUACGGGCAUGACUGGAGUUCGGCAGGGGAGACUGGAAUUCCUGGUGUAGCGGUGAAAUGCGCAGAUAUCAAGCAGAACACCUGCGGCGAAGGCGGCCUUCUGGACGAUGACUGACGCUGAGACGCGAAAGCGUGGGGAGCAAACAGG
rnacentral:rRNA from 1 species